rnacentral:lncRNA from 1 species
UUCGUACAAAUAACGUUGCCUAAUGAAGGAAUGUUCGCGGAUGGCAGAGGAAGUGAUGACGAGAAAAAGAAAAAAUGAACAAAAGGAAAAGAGGGUGAUUGAUAACAGCACAACUCUAAGGCGAUCACAUCGAGGACGAUAGGAAAGACAACAUGCAUUAAACCCGUGUGGUGGAAAAAAGAGGGUAAGAAAGAGGAAUGAGGGAGUUAAACAUGUUGGAAUAAGGGUUAAUAAAGAAUGUCUAUGUAUCUAAGCUUUUGGCUUUUCCAAUUAGAAUGCAUGAUGUCACUUUCAUCAUAUAAAUGGCCACGACAUUGACCACUGGUACACUUUAAGAGCCCAUAUUGAGAGGUUGAUAAAUGAGGGGUUGCUAGAGACAUUUUUAAACAACAUUCUUAUGGGGGAAGCAAAUUGUACAGUUCUCAUUAGGGGAAAAGAAGCAGUAAUAUACAAGGAGAUUUGAACACCAUUGCAAGGGGCUUUAUUAGUGGGGGUGUUGUUAGUGGAUCAGAAAAUUGCUCACAAAUGUUAUGAACGUGGCAUGAAGAGACGGAGAGGAUGACUAACAAAUGGAAACGCUCUGACAAUGAAUAACUUGGAAAUAGAUCUACACUUGAGAGUGCUUUUUUAAUAACGUCAUCCUCAGUUUGAAAAUGAUAUCAUCGAUGAAGGGUAGGUUGUUAAAAUUGAAGGGAAAUUAUAGGAGACUUUGCACGUUGCCUUGGUGGGGUGGAGCUUUCAUAUGGUGAAAUUGGUGGUGAAGAAAAAAUAGUGUCAUACUUUAGGAGGUGACAACAUUUAUGGAGGCCAACCACAUUCACAAGAUAUAGUACCCUAAAUGGUUAGCUAAUGUUGUUAUAGUUAUGAAAAGUAUGAUGGAAGGCACAUAGAACAAAUAUGAAGGUAAAGGCAGAAGCU